rnacentral:tRNA from 1 species
ACCUAGCUGACUCAGUUUGGAAGAGCAUGGGACUCUUGAUCUCAGGGUCGUGAGUUUGAGCCUCAUGUUGGGUG